AGGAUUUGGGUCAAAAUAAUACUUUGAAAAGUAUUUCUCAAGGCAUUAUUUGGACCAAAAAUUAUUUUUUGAAAAUAAUUUUACAUUUUUUGUCCUGUGAAAAACAAUUUUCGGCGCUGAGCGUCGACGCCAACUUCAUGGAGGUAAAGUAGUUUAAUAUUGAAGAAGAAAGAUUAAUUAAAUAUCAACUCAUUUUUUGAAUUAAAAUUUUUGAAAAUCCAUACGAGAGCUAAGAAAUCAUUACAAAAAGCUUGUAAAAAUAUUAGCGAUAAAAAAUUGUCAAAAUUAUCUUUUUUUAACCACUUUUCAUGUUUUUAUGACCCAGAUGAUGCAAUAAAAAAAUAUAACAUCUUGCGGAUCAUUAAAAUUUGAAGGGGUCAAAAUAAAGUAGAUGCCUCCCUUUAAUUUAUUUCUUAUAAAUAUUUGAGUUGUACAGAAAUAAAGGAACUUUUUAAUACUAGAUUUCGCUUUUAAAUACAAAUUUUUUGAGUUCAAUAGAAGUGAAAAUUUUUUCAAAUACCCAGAAAAACUAAUGAAUUUUCUAAAUCCAGCAAGAUUAAUAUUUCUUGUAGAUAACAUAUUUUUUAAUUUAAAAAAAAUUUUUUUUCUUCAGCAAUGCAUAAGCAAUUUGAAUGCCAUGCUCAAAAAUUUGAAAAAUCAAAAUUUGAAAUAUUGACAUUUUUUUAGCCUGAAAUUUGAAUUUGAAACUUUAACUACUUGAUACGAUUGUUUAUUAUGCCUUAAAUUAUUUCAAACACGUGUUGGGUCAGUUGGGGUAAAUGGGGACAAGAGGUUUUGGAGCUCAAUUUACAGUUUAAAAUUACGUUCAACGUCAAUAUUUUAACCUCAGAUCACCUGCAAGAGGUUUUGAGUAUUGCCAAGCUUUUAUCUUGACAAUUGUCAGCAGGAUAAAAAAAGUUAUCGCUCAAUGCAUAAAAACUUGAAAAUCAAAGUCAAACAGCUUGUCAUUAUUAACCAAAUUAACAAAAAUUCAAGUUAAUUUCUGUUAUGGAAGUCAUAAGGAAUAAGAAAAAAAUUUGAUGUCAAAUCUUAUGCAUUGGUUACUACGAACAUUGGUCGUGUUCAUUUCGUUAACAUUUUUACUAAUUAAUUCGGAAAAGAUCGUUUCACAUGUCGGCCUUAAUUUUCCAAUUAAUUCUAAGAUUUUAAUUUGUAUUUUAUAUGUAGGGAUUUUUGUAUUUUGUGCAGCUUCUGUAGUACUUUACAGGGUAUUCACGUUUAAUAAUUGUCAAGCUGCAUCUCUCGAACUUAAAAA